rnacentral:rRNA from 1 species
CGGCCGCAAGGCUAAAACUCAAAGGAAUUGACGGGGGCCCGCACAAGCGGCGGAGCAUGCGGAUUAAUUCGAUGCAACGCGAAGAACCUUACCAAGGCUUGACAUGCGCGGUGGAAUCCCAGAGAUGGGGUGUCAUUUAGUUGGUCGCGUACAGGUGGUGCAUGGUUGUCGUCAGCUCGUGUCGUGAGAUGUUGGGUUAAGUCCCGCAACGAGCGCAACCC